GAGUCGACGAAGCACUCUAUUUGAUUUUCUUCGGAGAUGAAGAUUUUGUGACUGAGUGGCGGACGGGUGAGUAACGCGUGGGUAACCUGCCUCAUACAGGGGGAUAACAGUUGGAAACGACUGCUAAUACCGCAUAAGCGCACGGUACCGCAUGGUACCGUGUGAAAAACUCCGGUGGUAUGAGAUGGACCCGCGUCUGAUUAGCUAGUUGGUGGGGUAACAGCCUACCAAGGCGACGAUCAGUAGCCGACCUGAGAGGGUGACCGGCCACAUUGGGACUGAGACACGGCCCAAACUCCUACGGGAGGCAGCAGUGGGGAAUAUUGCACAAUGGGGGAAACCCUGAUGCAGCGACGCCGCGUGAGCGAAGAAGUAUUUCGGUAUGUAAAGCUCUAUCAGCAGGGAAGAAAAAAUGACGGUACCUGACUAAGAAGCACCGGCUAAAUACGUGCCAGCAGCCGCGGUAAUACGUAUGGUGCAAGCGUUAUCCGGAUUUACUGGGUGUAAAGGGAGCGCAGGCGGUGCGGCAAGUCUGAUGUGAAAGCCCGGGGCUCAACCCCGGUACUGCAUUGGAAACUGUCGUACUAGAGUGUCGGAGGGGUAAGUGGAAUUCCUAGUGUAGCGGUGAAAUGCGUAGAUAUUAGGAGGAACACCAGUGGCGAAGGCGGCUUACUGGACGAUAACUGACGCUGAGGCUCGAAAGCGUGGGGAGCAAACAGGAUUAGAUACCCUGGUAGUCCACGCUGUAAACGAUGAGUACUAGGUGUUGGAGAGCAUUGCUCUU
rnacentral:rRNA from 1 species